AUGACCUGGCGUGGAAGGACCCAGAGGCCUCGAGCCGUGACUCGGUUAGCACCCCGCGGGGUGUAUGGGUUGGGCGCAUUUGCUGUGCAGAUUGAGUUGGGUACACGCUUUGAUGCUGCAGCCGCGGGGGCAGCGCCCUCGGGGAGCCGGCCGGCCUGCGGCGGCGGCAGCGGCGGCGUUUCUCGCCUCCUCUUCGUCUUUUCUAACCGUACAGCCUCUUCCUCGGCUUCUCCUGAAAGGGAAGGUGGAAGCCGUGGGCUCCGGCGGGAGCCGGCUGAGGCGCGGCGGCGGCGGCACCUCCCGCUCCUGGAGCGCGGGGGAGAAGCGGCGGCGGCGGCGGCCGCGGCGGCUGCAGCUCCAGGGAGGGGGUCUGAGUCGCCUGUCACCAUUUCCAGGGCUAGGAACGCCGGAGAGUUGGUCUCUCCCCUUCUACUGCCUCCAACACGGCGGCGGCGGCGGCACAUCCACGGACCCGGGCCGGUUUUAAACCUCCAGUCCGCCGCCGCCGCACCCCCCGUGGCCCGGGCUCCGGAGGCCACCGGAGGAGGCAGCCGUUCGGAGGAUUCUUCGUCUUCUCCCCAUUCCGCUGCCGCCGCUGCCAGGCCUCUGGCUGCUGAGGAGAAGCAGGCCCAGUCGCUGCAACCAUCCAGCAGCCGCCGCAGCAGCUAUUACCCGGCUGCGGUCCAGAGCCAAGCGGCGGCAGAGCGAGGGGCAUCAGCUACCGCCAAGUCCAGAGCCAUUUCCAUCCUGCAGAAGAAGCCCCGCCACCAGCAGCUUCUGCCAUCUCUCUCCUCCUUUUUCUUCAGCCACAGGCUCCCAGACAUGACAGCCAUCAUCAAAGAGAUCGUUAGCAGAAACAAAAGGAGAUACCAAGAGGAUGGAUUCGACUUAGACUUGACCUAUAUUUAUCCAAACAUUAUUGCUAUGGGAUUUCCUGCAGAAAGACUUGAAGGCGUAUACAGGAACAAUAUUGAUGAUGUAGUAAGGUUUUUGGAUUCAAAGCAUAAAAACCAUUACAAGAUAUACAAUCUUUGUGCUGAAAGACAUUAUGACACCGCCAAAUUUAAUUGCAGAGUUGCACAAUAUCCUUUUGGAGACCAUAACCCACCACGGCUAGAACUUAUCAAACCCUUUUGUGAAGAUCUUGACCAAUGGCUAAGUGAAGAUGACAAUCAUGUUGCGGCAAUUCACUGUAAAGCUGGAAAGGGACGAACUGGUGUAAUGAUUUGUGCAUAUUUAUUACAUCGGGGCAAAUUUUUAGAGGCACAAGAGGCCCUAGAUUUCUAUGGGGAAGUAAGGACCAGAGACAAAAAGGGAGUAACUAUUCCCAGUCAGAGGCGCUAUGUGUAUUAUUAUAGCUACCUGUUAAAGAAUCAUCUGGAUUAUAGACCAGUGGCACUGUUGUUUCACAAGAUGAUGUUUGAAACUAUUCCAGUGUUCAAUGGCGGAACUUGCAAUCCUCAGUUUGUGGUCUGCCAGCUAAAGGUGAAGAUAUAUUCCUCCAAUUCGGGACCCACACGAUGGGAAGACAAGUUCAUGUACUUUGAGUUCCCUCAGCCGUUACCUGUGUGUGGUGAUAUCAAAGUAGAGUUCUUCCACAAACAGAACAAGAUGCUAAAAAAGGACAAAAUGUUUCACUUUUGGGUAAAUACAUUCUUCAUACCAGGAACAGAGGAAACCUCAAAAAAAGUAGAAAAUGGAAGUGUAUGUGAUCAAGAAAUUGAUAGCAUUUGCAGUAUAGAGCGUGCAGAUAAUGACAAGGAAUGUCUAGUACUUACUUUAACAAAAAAUGAUCUUGACAAAGCAAAUAAAGACAAAGCCAACCGAUACUUUUCUCCAAAUUUUAAGGUGAAGCUGUACUUCACAAAAACAGUAGAGGAGCCGUCAAAUCCAGAGGCUAGCAGUUCAACUUCUGUAACACCAGAUGUUAGUGACAAUGAACGUGAUCAUUAUAGAUAUUCUGACACCACUGACUCUGAUCCAGAGAAUGAAGCUUUUGAUGAAGAUCAGCAUACACAAAUUACAAAAGUCUGAAUUUUUUUUUUAUGAAGAGGGAUAAAACACCAUGAAAACAAACUUGAAUAAACUGAAAAUGGACCUUUUUUUUUUUUUAAUGGCAAUAGGACAUUGUGUCAGAUUACCAGUUAUAGGAACAAUUCUCUUUUCCUGAACGAUCUUGUUUUACCCUAUACAUCCACAGGGUUUUGACACUUGUUGUCCAGUUGAAAAAAGGUUGUGUAGCUGUGUCAUGUAUAUACCUUUUUGUGUCAAAAGGACAUUUAAAAUUCAAUUAGGAUUAAUAAAGAUGGCACU